CAUCUGUAGUUUGGGGCUAGCACUUGGUUGGUGGUACCAUUGAACACACCAGACUUGCAAAAAAUAAGCAUACUCUGGAGGAGGCUAAGACAUGCUUGCUGAGAGGCAACAGUUCACAUGCAGUAUUCCUCUGGUAGGUACUAAGUACUGUUGCCAUGGUGAUAAUGGCUGAGCUGUGCCAUUAUCUAUCCAGCAACAGUAACAGAAGCUUUGCAGUAAGGAUACCAUUUAGCAGACAGUGGCUUUUGUUGAACACUAAAUACCGCUACAAAA
ensembl:scaRNA